UACGUAGGGGGCAAGCGUUGUCCGGAAUCAUUGGGCGUAAAGAGCGUGUAGGCGGCCAGAUCAGUCCGCUGUGAAAUCUCGAGGCUCAACUUCGAGCUGUCGGUGGAAACUGUCUGGCUAGAGUCCGGAAGAGGAGAAUGGAAUUCCAGGUGUAGCGGUGAAAUGCGUAGAUAUCUGGAGGAACACCGGUGGCGAAGGCGGCGUCCUGGACCAACACUGACACUGAUGAGCGAAAGCCAGGGGAGCAAACGGG
rnacentral:rRNA from 1 species